GACGAACGCUGGCGGCGUGCUUAACACAUGCGAGUCGAACGGAAAGGCCCUGCUUUUGUGGGGUGCUCGAGUGGCGAACGGGUGAGUAACACGUGAGUAACCUGCCCUUGACUUUGGGAUAACUUCAGGAAACUGGGGCUAAUACCGGAUAGGAGCUCCUGCUGCAUGGUGGGGGUUGGAAAGUUUCGGCGGUUGGGGAUGGACUCGCGGCUUAUCAGCUUGUUGGUGGGGUAGUGGCUUACCAAGGCUUUGACGGGUAGCCGGCCUGAGAGGGUGACCGGCCACAUUGGGCCUGAGGUACGGCCCAGACUCCUACGUUAGGCAGCAGUGGGGAAUAUUGCACAAUGGGCGGAAGCCUGAUGCAGCAACGCCGCGUGCGGGAUGACGGCCUUCGGGUUGUAAACCGCUUUCGCCUGUGACGAAGCGUGAGUGACGGUAAUGGGUAAAGAAGCACCGGCUAACUACGUG
rnacentral:rRNA from 1 species